rnacentral:rRNA from 1 species
GAUGAACGCUGGCGGCGUGCCUAAUACAUGCAAGUCGAGCGAACGGACGAGAAGCUUGCUUCUCUGAUGUUAGCGGCGGACGGGUGAGUAACACGUGGAUAACCUACCUAUAAGACUGGGAUAACUUCGGGAAACCGGAGCUAAUACCGGAUAAUAUUUUGAACCGCAUGGUUCAAAAGUGAAAGACGGUCUUUCUGUCACUUAUAGAUGGAUCCGCGCUGCAUUAGCUAGUUGGUAAGGUAACGGCUUACCAAGGCAACGAUGCAUAGCCGACCUGAGAGGGUGAUCGGCCACACUGGAACUGGGACACGGUCCAGGCUACUACGGGAGGCAGCAGUAGGGAAUCUUACGCAAUGGGCGAAAGCCUGACGGAGCAAGGCCGCGUGAGUGAUGAAGGUCUUCGGAUCGUAAAACUCUGUUAUUAGGGAAGAACAUAUGUGUAAGUAACUGUGCACAUCUUGACGGUACCUAAUCAGAAAGCCACGGCUAACUACGUG